rnacentral:rRNA from 1 species
GACGAACGCUGGCGGCGUGCUUAACACAUGCAAGUCGAGCGGUAAGGCCCUUUCGGGGGUACACGAGCGGCGAACGGGUGAGUAACACGUGGGUGACCUGCCCUCAGCUCUGGGAUAAGCCUGGGAAACCGGGUCUAAUACCGGAUAUGACUCCAUGACGCAUGUUGUGGGGUGGAAAGCCUUGUGCGGCUGAGGAUGGGCCCGCGGCCUAUCAGCUUGUUGGUGGGGUNAUGGCCUACCAAGGCGACGACGGGUAGCCGGCCUGGGAGGCGACCGGCCACACUGGGACUGGAGACACGGACCCAGACUCCUACGGGAGGCAGCAGUGGGGAAUCUUGCGCAAUGGGCGAAAGCCUGACGCAGCGACGCCGCGUGAGGGAUGACGGCCU